CCUGAAUCGCCAACUGAAUACACGCAAAACUGUAUGUCAACACCUGACUUCCUCCAUAUGUCGGUGUCGCCUGCCGAGGCCAAGUUGGGGGGUUUUAGAAGGCUGCCCUCCAGAGGACCCCUAGGAGAGCGCCUCAGGUGUUCAACAUCUGCCCGUUUAGUAAAUGUCUUUC